GAAAUUCCUGCUAAAUGGUUUACAAGUAGUCAGGAGGGAGGGGAAGGUUUCCUGGCGCGCGGCGGAGCCUGCGCCGCCUCCCCGCCGAGUCCUGCCGGGGUGUUGGGGUGCCUGGGGAUGGGUUUUGGGGUGUGCUCCAGCCUGGGACUGUGAGAGGGGAGUGCAGGAUUGGUGCCCAGCAUCAGCAACCCAUGCUGGGCGCUGGGCAUCCCUCCUGCUGCUCCUGGCUGUCCCCGCACGGCCUCGCUGUGCUGGAACGCUUCCCCCAGCAGCCAGUGCCUUCCUCUGGUGCUUUGGAAGCCCAAACCCUGCCCUGACUCACACACAAAGCUCCAGGAUCCACGGCUGGGUCAGACCCUGGAGAGCCUGAGCACCAGCCCAGCCAGGGCAUCGAUGCUCCAAAGACCCAACAGUGAGGGGAGAAUGGAGGUGCCCUGGUGUCACCACCCUGCUCCGGCCGCCCUCGUGCCGUGCCUGCAUCCCGCUGGAUGGUCCUGAUCCUGCCAUGGUUUAACAACAAGGGUGCCUGGAUCCGUCUGUGGAGCCUCCUCACUUCCCAAUCCCAAAAGCCCGAGAGCCCUCAGGCACAGAGGGCCCUCCCUCGCUGCCCGUUCCACGGCACCACCCGAAAACACCUUCCCUGAGCUUCCCAGGAAUACCCGGGGACGGCUCAGCCUUUUGGGGUCACCCCUCAACAGCCUUUCCCCUCUCCCAGCACCAACCACGGGGCUGGAUCCAGCGCUCCAGGGCCCCCACUCAGCCCCGCAUCCCCGGGCACCGCCGGGAGCCAGGGGAGCAGGAGGGAGAGGGACCCAACUCCCAAAUCCACGGGCGGCAAAGGAGGAGCACGGGGGCUCCAGGAGGGACCCGGGGGUGGCUGAGAGCAGAACACCCUCAGAGCUAUGCUCCCAAAUCCCUCUCUCCCAAAGAACAAAGCUCCAACCUCCCCGCGGAUGCAGAACGAGCGGCGAUGAUUUAUUUCUCUUCCCCGGUAGAUAAAUCGGCCUCGGAAAACGGGUCGGUGCUAAAUUACAAUUUGCAUGCGGUAAUAUAUUUAAGCAACUUUCCUUCCA